rnacentral:rRNA from 1 species
AGCAGCCGCGGUAAUUCCAGCUCCAAUAGCGUAUAUUAAAGUUGUUGCAGUUAAAAAGCUCGUAGUUGAAUUUCGGGGUUCUACCGUUGGUCGGGCAAUAGUCUGUACUGGCGUGUAGAAUUUCUACCUUCUGGGGAACCAUCAUGUUAUUUAUUUAGCGUGGUGGGAAACCAGGACCUUUACCUUGAAAAAAUUAGAGUGUUCAAAGCAGGCUUACGUCUGAACACAUUAGCAUGGAAUAAUAAAAUAGGACGGUGGUCCUGUUUUGUUGGUUUCUGAAUCACCGUAAUGAUUAAUAGGGAUAGUUGGGGGCAUUAGUAUUCAAUUGUCAGAGGUGAAAUUCUUGGAUUUAUUGAAGACUAACUUUUGCGAAAGCAUUUGCCAAGGAUGUUUUCAUUAAUCAAGAACGAAAGUUAGGGGAUCGAAGACGAUCAGAUACCGUCGUAGUCUUAACCAUAAACUAUGCCGACUAGGGAUCGGACGAUGUUAAUUUUUCUUGACUCG